rnacentral:rRNA from 1 species
UACGUAGGGGCCGAGCGUUGUCCGGAGUUACUGGGCGUAAAGCGCGCGCAGGCGGCGCAUCGCGCCCGGCGUGAAAGCCCCCGGCUCAACUGGGGAGGGUCAUUCGAUACUGUUCGACUCGAAGGCAGGAGAGGGAAGUGGAAUUCCCGGUGUAGUGGUGAAAUGCGUAGAUAUCGGGAGGAACACCAGUGGCGAAGGCGACUUCCUGGCCUGUUCUUGACGCUGAGGCGCGAAAGCUAGGGGAGCAAACGGGG